AUUGAACGCUGGCGGCAGGCUUAACACAUGCAAGUCGAACGAGUGGCGGACGGGUGAGUAAUGCUUGGGAAUCUAGCUUAUGGAGGGGGAUAACUACGGGAAACGGUAGCUAAUACCGCGUACCAUAGGAUGAGCCCAAGUGGGAUUAGGUAGUUGGUGAGGUAAAGGCUCACCAAGACGACGAUCCCUAGCUGGUCUGAGAGGCUGACCAGCCACACUGAGACUGAUGCACGGCCUAGACUCCUACGGGAGGCAGCAGUGGGGAAUAUUGCGCAAUGGGGGCAACCUGACGCAGCCAUGCCGCGUGAAUGAAGAAGGCCUUCGGGUUGUAAAGUUCUUUCAGUAGCGAGGCGUUAACGACAGAAGAAGCACCGGCUAACUCCGUGCCAGCAGCCGCGGUAAUUC
rnacentral:rRNA from 1 species